AAGCAAGCCUUCACCGGAAAACUAACAAACAAGAACAAACUUCAUUUAAGGAGCUACCAAACUGUCACAUUUCCAUAGGGAUCUGUUUUAUGUUCUGUGUGUUCUACACCAGACCUAUGAAAAUGGGAGUCACGGCAUGGGAAGAACACACUUCAUCAACAUGGACCGGAAGCCAUCAAACCAACUAGAAGGAGCCAAAGGAAGAGGAUGGGAGAAGAUGUUUAAUCUUCCAGGCCUUGGUUUCUCCGCCUGUAAUAUGGAAGGGAAAGUUACUGAGCCUGCGGAACGCUCCAGCAACUGCAGUUCCGACCCGAGGUUCUGCGGACCCCAGGAUUUGGGCAGGCCAAGGAUUCCAGGACCAGAGGGCGAAUCUGCAGGGGGGAAUCUGCGGGGAAGAGAGCUGCUCACAGGCUGUCGGGAUGGGAGAGGGUAGAGUCCUGGCUCGGUCCAUUUCACUUAACACCUCUCAAGUGUCCGCGCUUCUAAAUCGGUCCCUUUAAAAAUCAUCAGUACGAUGUUGUGAGAGAGUGUUAGCGCCAUUUAAAAAUUGUUUUACUGCAUGACAAGAGAAGUAACGCUGGUCCUACAAAGUGAAAAAUCGCACAAGUAUAAAUCUGAGAGAAGUUCCCCAUAACCCACCCUCACAUCCCCAGUCAUGUGAACUGUGUU